rnacentral:rRNA from 1 species
UACGAAGGGGGCGAGCGUUGUUCGGAAUUACUGGGCGUAAAGGGCGCGCAGGCGGCUCUGAAAGUCAGAUGUGAAAGCCCCGGGCUUAACCUGGGAACUGCAUUUGUGACUGCAUCGCUGGAGUGCGGCAGAGGGGGAUGGAAUUCCGCGUGUAGCAGUGAAAUGCGUAGAUAUGCGGAGGAACACCGAUGGCGAAGGCAAUCCCCUGGGCCUGCACUGACGCUCAUGCACGAAAGCGUGGGGAGCAAACAGG